UUCUUUUAUUAUGAGACGGUAGAAUUAUGUAAAAAUAAUUCAUUGGGUUACGCUCGUUUCAGGAACUAACCGAACAUCUCACGACACGACUGACGACAGCCAUGCAGCACCUGCAAAAGUAAGUAUCUUGUUUUGUUUAAAACAAGAUAAGAAAACCCCUUAAGCUUCCUUACUUUUAGUCAAAAAUUGGUAAGAUUUCGCGCGCUGUAUCGCAUUAAACCACAUGCUCCACCGCUUGUUCUCUUCUCUGUCAAUUUCUUUGAAGUUCAACCUUGCGAUCGUACUGCUCAGGCGGAUAUUUAACGUGUUAACUGAAGCACUGCCUGAAGGGGUUAACACCGCCUCUUCAAGCAACACUUAAUAUUCAUCGUUGACACAUAGACUAC
rnacentral:misc_RNA from 1 species